AGACUCUUAAGUGAAUUGACUUCCCAGACUAAUCUACAGUAUGCAAUUGGUCUUUGCAGGAGCCCACUAUUACUACUACCAGCACGACCCCUACUGUUCAAAUAUCUGGAAAACCUACAGCUGCAAAAGAUGCCAGCGCUACUAAUGGAAAAGCAACAUUCUUUAUAUUGAAGUGUUGGGCUUUACUUCAUAAAUAACCAACCAGCAAGAUGCAUGCAUCUCGGUAGCAUACUUUUAUAGCUUAGGCUAAACCUUUCUGUUCUGGUCAUCCCCGUACCCACCAGCACGUACAUACUUUUCAGCUACUGAUUAAACGGUGAUCUUAAAAUACAUUUAAAUGAAAAAAUAGGGGUCUAUCUGCUCUCACCAGUGUAGAUAUAAAUGCUGGACUAUUUCUUAGUUUUACAAAUGAUUGAUUAAAAGGAGUAAUGAAAUGUUAAAUAUUCUCACAAGUAAACAUAUUGGGCAAAGGCAAAUUGUAAAAAAAAUAGUAUAAUUGUUUAUCUAUUAAACAAGCUAAAAUCAAUUUUGGGCCUGAUAUUCAAAACUUGGUUUGUGGAUUUUAUGUAGAUUUAGUUUAACUCCCAGGAUUGUCCCCAACUCCCCAUUCAAGUUUGACCAUUCGAACCCUUUCCUCUCUCAGAUUCUCAAGUCCUUCUAAUAGGGUCUUUUGCUUUGUUAAAACGGCACCACAGUUUUGGCUGCCUCAGCAUGCUGGGGUUUGUGUUAAUUACUGUAUCUCAAUAAAACCAUUUGCAAUA